UCCUAAAGGGAGGUGAUCCAUGCACCAAUCUCGAAUGGAUUGAUCACUAUCCUCUGUGACGAUCCUUCGAUUGGGAGCAUUUAGAAAUUAACCACUAAUGAUAUAUGUCUCAAAUUCUCAAUAUCUUGAGAAUAUACAUAAUCAUCUUUAUUAAUUUCUUGGACAAAUCAUGGAUAAAUAAACAUAAUUAGUUAUUAAGACUGCCCAACGAGUACAAAACAUGCCUUAGAGAAAUGAAUAUGUCAGUCA
rnacentral:lncRNA from 1 species